AGUAGGUUAGUGGUGCGACAUUUAGGGAAGGCAGAAAGUAGGUCAGGGACGGAGGUGCCUGUUUACCCGCGCCGGACUCACCGCCGCCGCCGCCGCGGGAUCCGAGUGGGGGCGCGGGCGCGGGCGCUCCCGGCGAGCCACGGUGGUGCUGGCUAGAGUGCAUACUUUUGGAUCCAAGCUUACCUUUUCAAAUGUGGGAUCCCAGGCCUUUAUUGGUUUCUGGAAGAAGUUGACUGCCUGAAAGGAAACUGCAAAACAUGAAAAUCGCCCUGAGGUGACCAAGUCCAGUGGCUCCUUACUCCCCCACGGUGGAUCCGAGGUUGAAGAACUCUUAACUUCAGAUGAGGAAGCUCAGGCCCAGAGAGGAGGAGUGAGCCCCAGCCACAUCCUGGGCAGCCCGGCCCUGACUGCGGGCAGCACAGCCCUCUUCAACCCGGUUUGGAGCUGGAGUUCCUUGUAAGGGGAUGCUGGGUAUGAAAGGACAGUCAGGGAAGAUAGGACUGACUUUGCCUGGGGUGCUGAGAGAGAGGGACCAUACUGGUCAAAAACUCCCAAUGGCGGACCAGAGGAUGGACAUUUCUUCAACAAUCAGUGAUUUCAUGUCCCCGGGCGCCACAGACCUCCUCUCCAGCUCCCUGGGCACCAGUGGCGUGGAUUGCACGCGCAAGCGGAAAGGCAGCUCCACCGACUACCAACUUGAUGACUUUUCUUUUGAGGAAAGCAUGGACACAGACAAAGAUGACCCCCACGGAAGGUUAGAAUACACAGAGCACCAAGGAAGGAUAAAAAAUGCCAGGGAAGCUCACAGUCAAAUUGAAAAGAGGCGUCGGGAUAAAAUGAACAGCUUUAUUGAUGAAUUGGCUUCCUUGGUACCAACGUGCAAUGCCAUGUCCAGGAAAUUAGAUAAACUUACUGUGCUAAGGAUGGCUGUUCAGCACAUGAAAACAUUACGAGGUGCCACCAAUCCAUACACGGAAGCAAACUACAAACCAACUUUUUUGUCAGAUGAUGAAUUGAAGCACCUCAUCCUCAGGGCAGCAGAUGGAUUUUUGUUUGUCGUAGGAUGUGACCGAGGGAAGAUUCUCUUUGUCUCAGAGUCUGUCUUCAAGAUCCUCAACUACAGCCAGAAUGAUCUGAUUGGCCAGAGUUUGUUUGACUACCUGCAUCCUAAAGACAUUGCCAAAGUGAAGGAGCAGCUCUCCUCCUCUGACACCGCCCCCCGGGAGCGCCUCAUCGAUGCGAAAACUGGACUCCCAGUUAAAACAGAUAUAACCCCUGGGCCAUCUCGGUUAUGUUCUGGAGCACGGCGUUCUUUCUUCUGUAGGAUGAAGUGUAACAGGCCUUCAGUAAAGGUUGAAGACAAGGAGUUCCCCUCCACCUGCUCAAAGAAAAAAGCAGAUCGAAAAAGCUUCUGCACAAUCCACAGCACCGGCUAUUUGAAAAGCUGGCCGCCCACAAAGAUGGGGCUGGAUGAAGACAACGAGCCAGACAACGAGGGGUGUAAUCUCAGCUGCCUUGUCGCGAUAGGACGGUUGCAUUCUCACAUGGUUCCACAGCCGGUGAACGGGGAAAUCAGGGUGAAGUCUAUGGAAUAUGUCUCUCGGCAUGCCAUCGACGGGAAGUUUGUUUUUGUAGACCAGAGGGCAACAGCUAUUUUGGCAUAUUUACCACAAGAACUUCUAGGCACAUCAUGUUAUGAAUAUUUUCACCAAGAUGACAUAGGCCAUCUCGCAGAAUGUCACAGGCAAGUUUUACAGACGAGAGAAAAGAUCACAACCAACUGCUAUAAGUUUAAAAUCAAAGAUGGUUCUUUCAUCACACUGCGGAGUCGAUGGUUCAGUUUCAUGAACCCUUGGACCAAGGAAGUAGAAUACAUUGUCUCAACCAACACUGUUGUUUUGGCCAGCGUCCUGGAAGGCAGGGAUCCAGGCUUCCCGCAGCUCACGGUGUCCCCCCACAGCAUGGACGGCAUGCUGCCCCCUGGAGAAGGUGGCCUGAAGAGGACCCACCCCACUGUCCCAGGGAUUCCAGGGGGAACCAGGGCCGGGGCAGGAAAAAUAGGUCGAAUGAUUGCUGAGGAAAUCAUGGAAAUCCACAGGAUAAGAGGGUCCUCACCUUCCAGCUGUGGCUCCAGCCCACUGAACAUCACCAGUACACCUCCCCCUGAUGCCUCUUCCCCAGGAGGCAAGAAGGAGGCCAGAUUUCCUUCAUAUAUUAUAACCAGACAACACAUCUAAACAGACUAAAUGAAGAAGCAAAUAUGAGAACCCUGUCAAAUUCUACAAGGCAGACACUGGAUUUUUAAAAAAUAUAAUCAAUGACACUUGCACUAAUUUUGUUAUUUUGGAAAAAAAAUUUCAUUAAAAUUGUAUUCAUAUUAACAUGUAAUAGGUUAUUUUAAGAAUUUAUUUUUAACUUUAAAUAUGCUAAGCAUCGAUAAAUAUAACCCACAUAAACAAAAGUUCUUUGAAGUCCUCAUUUUUUAAAUUGUGUAAAGGGGUCUCUAGACCAAACAUUUGAACUGCAGAGAUAAAUUGUAAUGCCACCUACUGGCAAGGCCUGAAAUCACCACCUCUGCUGAAAUUCAAGAAGCUACCAGUUUCUCUCACCUACAUCCAAAUACUUCUCCCAGGUGCUUUCCUAUGAGACUCAACUCAGUGGGGAAGGAAGGCAGAUAAAAUGAGAAUUCUGCUACUGAGGAGUAAUAAUGCUUUUCAGGACCUUAAGAACUUAAACCACUGGUUACUGGAAGCGUUCCUGAAGUUAACUGGUGCAGAGAGAUUUACUACUAGCACUUUUUCAUUUGUGAUUCCUCAGAGCUGUGCCUCUUCCCAGUUUCUUAAGUCUCUCAUUUCUUGUUCAGCAAUAUCUGUUGCUGUGAUAAGUCUUACUCCCUUAGAGGGGAACUGCCCAGCUGGGCUUUCUGAGGUUUAGUCCUUGGCCCUAGAAGAAACAUGUGAGCAGCAUGAUCCAAGAUUUUAAAUGGAGGGACUCCAGACAUUCCUUCCAGUGGCCUAUUGCCAGGGCAGGCUCAGGAGCACCCAGGUUAUCCAUAUUCUGAUAGUUCUUCUAUUCUUG